CCCGCUCUGUGUGCGCCGCGCUGUGUGCCGCUCACUGUCCGCCGCUGGUCGCUCUCGGGGAGCGUGAUUCCUCCGUCCCACGCUGUGUUGGCCGGGAUCGCCUGAUCGGACGACUGACCGUAACGGCGCAGCGCCGACUAAUCCGCUCCUAGAACCGCUGCUGCUUUGCUUCCGCUUUGUCUCUUCACUUCUUUGCCUCAUUUAAAGAGAUUAUUUGGACUGAUUGCUGUGCCUCAUUGGAACUGUGUGUUUGAAGAACUGAUCGCCUCGCUUGCAUCGGCAUUUGCCGCUCCGCCGGUCGCUUGGUAACGCGUCUCCGAUAGUUGGCGCAGCUUCAUCUUAAACUGUGUGUGUGUGUGUGUGUGUGUGUGUGUGUGUGUGUACUUGCAUGAGAGGACAGUGUGGGAAUAUACAUUUGAUUUUGUUCCUUUCUGGUUAUUUCUUUGAUUUCGUUUGUAAUUUGUUUUGCUGUAACCCAUAAUUACAAUUAUUCUGUUAGUUUUGGGUUAUUAUGGGUUGCUUUCCAGUUGCUUUUAUAUAGAAUUUUGUUUAUUUGUCAUUGGGUCUAAUUAUUAUAAUUCCUGUACAAUUAAUUCUUUGAUUUCUCUUUUGUUAUUAGUUAUUGUUUUGUUUCAUUAUUUGUUGUAGUCUAAUUUGUUGCUUUCUGGUCGCCCCCAUUCAGGUGCUGAGCCUACGGUGGUGGAUUGGUGUCCUGGUCACGGUGUCCCCUUUUUGUUGUGUUAGCACUUUGUAGCUUCUUUGUUUUGUUUACUUUUAUUUGCUUCACGUGUGGUGUUCCUGGGAUCCCCUUUUAUUUUGGAUACGGUUUAUCGCUGUAGGUCUCAGCACUGAUUGGUUCCCCUUAUAUGUCCCCUUACGUGAGUAAUUCUUUUAUAUUAUUUUUAAAAUAGAAAUUUGUGUAAAUAAAAGUGUUUUUGUAUUAUUGAA